rnacentral:rRNA from 1 species
UACGAAGGGGGCUAGCGUUGCUCGGAAUGACUGGGCGUAAAGGGCGCGUAGGCGGUUUGGUCAGUUAGGCGUGAAAUUCCUGGGCUUAACCUGGGGACUGCGCUUAAUACAGCCAGACUUGAGUGUGAAAGAGGGUCGUGGAAUUCCCAGUGUAGAGGUGAAAUUCGUAGAUAUUGGGAAGAACACCGGUGGCGAAGGCGGCGACCUGGUUCAUUACUGACGCUGAGGCGCGAAAGCGUGGGGAGCAAACAGG